GAGGAAAGAGGGGGGAGGGAAGAAUACAUGCAAGUCGAGCGAACAGACGAGGAGCUUGCUCCUCUGACGUUAGCGGCGGACGGGUGAGUAACACGUGGAUAACCUACCUAUAAGACUGGGAUAACUUCGGGAAACCGGAGCUAAUACCGGAUAAUAUAUUGAACCGCAUGGUUCAAUAGUGAAAGACGGUUUUGCUGUCACUUAUAGAUGGAUUCGCGCCGCAUUAGCUAGUUGGUAAGGUAACGGCUUACCAAGGCGACGAUGCGUAGCCGACCUGAGAGGGUGAUCGGCCACACUGGAACUGAGACACGGUCCAGACUCCUACGGGAGGCAGCAGUAGGGAAUCUUCCGCAAUGGGCGAAAGCUUGACGGAGCAACGCCGCGUGAGUGAUGAAGGUCUUCGGAUCGUAAAACUCUGUUAUUAGGGAAGAACAAAUGUGUAAGUAACUAUGCACGUCUUGACGGUACCUAAUCAGAAAGCCACGGCUAACUACGUG
rnacentral:rRNA from 1 species